rnacentral:tRNA from 2 species
GGGCCCGUAGCUCAGCCCGGCAGAGCGGCGGGCUUUUAACCCGUAGGUCCCGGGUUCAAAUCCCGGCGGGCCCGCCA